AAUCUUUUAAUAUGGUCUUUAUAGUUUUGAAGAUAAUAUGAGCCCGCGUUGACUGAAGAAGACUUUUAUCGAUGAUCCAUCAUCCAACAAUUGUGAGAAAAAAUGUGGUGGUAGAGUGUUUAUUUAACUUUUUGUGUAUAGCAUCCUUCACCAACAUAUAAUUGUCUUAUUUUGAUAGGUUGAAAUUGUGUGGGACCUCAUGACAAUUGAGGAGGUCUAUGAUUUUGCUGGGAAUAUCAUUUAUCUCUUUAUUUGUCAUGACGUCCCACAUCCAUUCCCGAAGAAAUAAGGUAACUAUCUAACAUCAAUUUUGUGAAUCAUAGAGAUCUACAGCAUUUAAUUAAAUUUAACAUUUUAGUAAAGUAAUGCAUAUAUCUCGAUAGAUGGGUUCCAUAAGAACUACAUGUUGAACUAAUUGAGCAUUUUCUUUUCAAAUACAAACUUGUUUAUGUAUAUUUAUUUCUUUUUAUAUUAUCUAUAUUUGACUACGAGGGUGGAGAAAUUCUGUCAAUAUGGAAAAAAGUUUGUUUGAAUUGUUAGCGAAUAGUAUGAAAACAAGUUUGUGAUCUCGGGAUGAUGACGUAUGGGCGGU
rnacentral:lncRNA from 1 species